rnacentral:rRNA from 1 species
UACGGGGGGGGCAAGCGUUGUUCGGAUUUACUGGGCGUAAAGAGCGCGCAGGCGGCCAAGUCAGUCGAAUGUGAAAGCCCCCGGCUUAACUGGGGAGGGUCAUUCGAUACUGCUCGGCUCGAAGACAGGAGAGGGAAGUGGAAUUCCCGGUGUAGUGGUGAAAUGCGUAGAUAUCGGGAGGAACACCAGUGGCGAAGGCGACUUUCUGGCCUGUUCUUGACGCUGAGGCGCGAAAGCUAGGGGAGCAAACGGG